UGUUUCUGAGCUAUGGCCUAUAGGUCAGCCAUCAUGGCAACCAAAGGAGAAUGUAAUUACAAAUGAGGACCUGGGAGGAAUCUCUAAGAUGGUUCCCACAAAGGGUACAGUGGAGAAAAAAAAUCUAUGCAAACGAAGAAAGGCAACACUGGAACCUCAGGAGAGCAGAGAAGAAGAAAAAGGAGGUGACAGUGGGAAUGAAGAUGAGGCGGGAGAGGAGGAGAUGGUGGAGUACUGUCUUAAUGCCUGGUGAUAAAUGAAAAUGCUGAAUUUCCACAGGGGCUUCUCCAGUAGCUCAGAUGGUAAAGUAUCUGCCGUCAGUGCAGGAGACCCGGGUUUGAUCCCUGGGUUGGGAAGAUCCCUGAAGAAAGAAAUUGCAACCCACUCCAGUAUUCUUGCCUGGAGAAUCCCAUGGACAGAGGGGCCUGGCGAGCU